rnacentral:lncRNA from 1 species
UAGUACUGGCAUGCAUAAGGGGAUGACCUUAUGUUGGGGGACGACCCAUGAGUCGAUCUUUGCUGUACCUAUGAAAAUAAGCUUUCCGUUUUGGUUUGUAGCAUAGCAGGGGUUGACCCAUGGCAUUUGAUCCAUGCCAAGUUGCCGCUGUGCCACAUGCUAGAAUAGAAAUGUCUGUGAAGAAUGUUUCAAUGUCGCUCUAUAAUAGGGCAACCAAUAUAGGCACCUUAUGGUAGGGCGACUCAUAUUUUGGUCACCUGUUCUCCAACUGGCGGUA